ensembl:snRNA
CUGUUGUAUGAAAGAAGAAGGUUAGCACUCCCCUUGACAAGGAUGGUAGAGGCCCUUGGGCCUGACAACAUGCACACGGCUAAGGCAUUGCCACCUACUUCGUGGCAUCUAACCAUUGUCUUUU